AUCGCUUCUCGGCCUUUUGGCUAAGAUCAUGUGUAGUAUCUGUUCUUAUCAGUUUAAAAGUGAUCAAAUCAAGUGGGAAAAUACUUUGGGUGAUCUACUGUGUGUAGAAUGAAGGUCCAAAACUUGUACUUUAUUGACUCAAACGUGGUUCCCUGCAGUACUUACUAUUUUAAAAUAACUUUA